CUUUUUCCAAUUUUGAGUUCUUUGAAUAUUUUUUUUACGUUUUGAAUAAAUAAGGUUUUGAGAAGAUUGACUAUUCCAGAGGAAACAUGGCUUGGUCAUCAAAAGCAUGAAAGCAUAACGUUCUGCAGAAAUAUUAUCGCCAGUGGGUCUCUAAAAAAGGAUGGGGCUACAAGGAAGGACUACAUUGAGCUGGCAGAGCUUACACUUAUGGUGCUUUCUGAAGACAGGUAUAAAUUUCGUACUCCCGGAGCAGUCCACCAUGCCCGUUUUAUGGCAAAAGGUAUCUACUACCUAAAACUCCAACUUAUGAUGGAUGCUAUACCUAGUCUGGAAAAAUGGCUGAAGCAUGAAAUUACUGAAGUGGCAACUUUUGUCUCUGUUUUUUAUACUACCUGGUUUCUCAAA
rnacentral:lncRNA from 1 species